rnacentral:rRNA from 1 species
UACAGAGGGUGCGAGCGUUAAUCGGAGUUACUGGGCGUAAAGGGCACGUAGGCGGUUAUAUUAGUCUGAUGUGAAAGACCUGGGCUUAACCUGGGAUGUGCAUUGGAAACGGUAUGGCUAGAGUUUGGGAGAGGGAAGUGGAAUUUCCGGAGUAGCGGUGAAAUGCGUAGAGAUCGGAAAGAACACUCGUGGCGAAGGCGGCUUUCUGGCCCAAAACUGACGCUGAGGUGCGAAAGCGUGGGGAGCAAACAGG